CAGGCCUCCCUCUGCUUGGUUCCAGUCGUGGGCAUGAGUGAGGGUCGAUGCUUGAUGGCUUUGAUGCCAUCGGUGGGAAUGUAUUUAAGCAUCGGCCUUCCCUCAUGCCCACGAUGGUCUACAGUCUUGGGUAUGAGUCAGUGACGAUGCUUGUUUGUUUAGAUGCUUGCGUUGGAACUUGCUUGUUUAGAUGCUUGCGUUGGAACUUGCUUGUUUAGAAACUUGCUUGUUUAGAUGCUUGCGUUGGAACUUGCUUGAACAACCGACCUGACGAAGUACCCAAGAAUGUUCAACCUAGUAGGGACGUGUCCCUGCGCCCAACGACAUUUUUUGUCGGGAUCGUGGCAAGUCUACGAUCCAGGGGGUGAUGUUGAGAGCCGGAAGGCAAGGGGGUGCAAACACCAGUCGGCCUUUGUCCCGAUUGCUGAGUGUUAUGUGCUUGACGUCCAAGGCUUGAUGCUGAUCCUCCAAGUGGGGCUUGUCCCUGCACCAAUGGCUAUUGCCAGGAUCAUGGCGUUUGCUAUGAUCGAAAAAAUGAGGGGGUGAUGUUGAGAGCCGGAAGGCAAGGGGGUGCAAACACCAGUCGGCCUUUGUCCCGAUUGCUGAGUGUUAUGUGCUUGACGUCCAAGGCUUGAUGUUGACCCUCCAAGUGGGGCUUUUUUGUUCCUGCGGUAACGACUUUGUUGGGAUCAUUGUGAUCAAGUUUGGUUGGUUUCGUAUUGUGGUGGGUUUUUUCGAAGCUUCUAUCGUUGUUUUACGCAUCGUGCGGUGCAUCUUGGGGGCUGUUUUGGCUUUUGGUUGCUUGCUUGGGCUUUAUGCUAGGCGGGUGGCUAAU
rnacentral:misc_RNA from 1 species